GGCGGCGGCGGUCGCCACCUUGCCCCAGCCAUCUCUUCCUUGCCCGUCAACGGUGAUUGACUAGCUCUUCCUCGUCUCCAACUCUGGACCAGGGAAGCAGAUAAGAGAAGGCAAUCAGAUUUUAGUUUCUUGUAUAAGGCAGUGAAACUGACCACAACAUUGUUCUUCUAAAUGGAGGAAACUAGCGCCACCUCGCCCUCGCGAGUGGUAUGCACGACAUAUCUUCAUAGUGUACCAGCCCUCUCAGAAUCGGUCCAUGGCCUUGAAUUAAGUGAUGCCAACUCUUUUUCAGAGAUUAAUUCUGCUAUGCUUCCUUUUGAUGAAUUCUCUACGCCUAAGAAGAGACAAUGCUUUUCUCUAGAUACAAGACAGCAGGCUUGUACAAAUUUAGUGCUAACAGUGGGUUGGAUGAAAGAGUUGGUGCACUAUUCACAUGAACAACCAUGAUCUCAUAACCUGGGCGCAGAAGAAAGUUUUGCCAUGUCAAUGCUCACCACUUCAUAUUUUUGAAUGGACAAUAUAGUUCACUGGUACAGAAACUAGCCUAUCUAUGCGAAUUGUACAGACACAUAUCUGGAGGGGGUUUCCACUAAAAUGAUUUUUUCCAAGGAUGUAAAUGUAAAUUAUACCACUGACCUGAUCUGAAACCCACCUAAGCCUAUCUGUACCGCUGGAUGCUAAUCUAAUGGCUCAAAACGCUGGAUCACAUGAUCUCAUACUAAGCCCAUCUCACGCAAGUCUCGCCCCCUGUACU